AUUGAACGCUGGCGGAAUGCCUUACACAUGCAAGUCGAACGGCAGCACGGGAGCAAUCCUGGUGGCGAGUGGCGAACGGGUGAGUAAUGUAUCGGAACGUACCUUUCAGUGGGGGAUAACGUAGCGAAAGUUACGCUAAUACCGCAUAUUCUGUGAGCAGGAAAGCAGGGGAUCGCAAGACCUUGCGCUGAUUGAGCGGCCGAUAUCAGAUUAGCUAGUUGGUGAGGUAAAGGCUCACCAAGGCGACGAUCUGUAGCGGGUCUGAGAGGAUGAUCCGCCACACUGGAACUGAGACACGGUCCAGACUCCUACGGGAGGCAGCAGUGGGGAAUUUUGGACAAUGGGCGCAAGCCUGAUCCAGCCAUGCCGCGUGAGUGAAGAAGGCCUUCGG
rnacentral:rRNA from 1 species